AAAGCCCGCAAGGGUGAGUAAAGUGGCGUACGGGUGAGUAACACGUGGGUAAUCUACCUUCUAGUGGGGGAUAACCCUGGGAAACCGGGGCUAAUACCGCAUAUUCUCGCGAGAGGAAAGGUGAAAAUCGCUAGAAGAGGAGCCCGCGGCUGAUUAGCUAGUUGGUGAGGUAAUGGCUCACCAAGGCAAUGAUCGGUAGCCGGCCUGAGAGGGCACACGGCCACACUGGCACUGAAACACGGGCCAGACUCCUACGGGAGGCAGCAGUGGGGAAUCUUGCACAAUGGGGGAAACCCUGAUGCAGCGACGCCGCGUGAGCGAUGAAGCCCUUCGGGGUGUAAAGCUCUUUCGGCAGGAACGAUAAUGACGGUACCUGAAGAAGAAGCUGCGGCUAACUACGUGCCAGCAGCCGCGGUAAUACGUAGGCAGCAAGCGUUGUUCGGAGUUACUGGGCGUAAAGAGUGCGUAGGCGGUCCUCUAAGUUUGGUGUGAAAUCUCCCGGCUCAACUGGGAGGGUGCGCCGAAAACUGGAGGGCUUGAGUGUGGGAGAGGCAAGCGGAAUUCCUGGUGUAGCGGUGAAAUGCGUAGAUAUCAGGAGGAACACCUGUGGUGUAGACAGCUUGCUGGACCAUAACUGACGCUGAGGCACGAAAGCGUGGGUAGCAAACAGGAUUAGAUACCCUGGUAGUCCACGCCCUAAACGAUGCAUACUUGGUGUGAGCCAUUCAUUUGGUUCGUGCCGGAGCUAACGCGUUAAGUAUGCCGCCUGGGGAGUACGGUCGCAAGGCUGAAACUC
rnacentral:rRNA from 1 species